AACAACACUUAAUACAGGGGCAUUCCAGACACGAAAUAAUCAGGGCCAGCUAAUACCUCCCAACAAAGGAUUCCCCAAGGCAGGAAGCAGCCAGUCUUUAAAACUGCAAGGCUAUUCAAUGCUAAGGUGGUUAAUGCAACAUUCACACUUGCCUCAAGUAGACAAGAGUUCUUUCUCCCACCCUAGACCUUCCACAGAUAUAUAAACCUCACUUGCAUAGUUUUCCAACAGACCUCACAACCUCUAAGGAUGCCUGCCAUAGAGGUGGGCGAAACUACAGCCCGGAAAACUCACAGCAAUCCAGUGAUUCCGGUCAGGAAAGCCUUCAGCAACACAUUAAAUAUAAAAUGUUAAUAUUCAGUAAUCCUACUCUAUUCUGCUUUGCUCAGACUUGAGCUGCAGUACUGUGUCCUGUUCUGGGCUUCAAGAAGAAUAUGGAGAAGUUCGAAUGUGUCCAGAGAAAAGUGAUCAGAAUGACCAAAGGUUUGGAAACCAAGCCCUGAGGGAGCUGGGGAUGUUUAAAGAAGGGACAUGAUAGCCAGAUUUACAUAUUUGAAAAGUGGUCACAUUCAGGUGCUUGUUUUCUGCUACUCUGGAUACUAAAAACAUUGAGGAUCAAAUUGGAGGAAAAGACAGGGUUGCUGUGAAUUUUCCAGGCUAUAUGGGCAUGUUCCAGAAGCCUUCUCUCCUGACAUUUCGCCCACAUCUAUGGCAGGCAUCACCAGAGGUUGUGGGGAUUGAUUCAUGUCUGGAAUUCCUCUGUUUUCUGAGUGGUGUUCUUUAUUUACUGUCCUGAUUUUAGAGUUUUUUAAUACUGCUAUUCAUUUUCACAGUUUCCUACUUGUUCAUUUUCAUAGUUUCCUACUUUCUGUGAAAAUUGUCCACAUGCUUGUGGAUUUCAGUGGCUUCUCUGUGUAGUCUGACAUAGUGGUUGCUUCAAAUAGACAAGAGUUCUUUCUCCCACCCUGGAUAUUCCACAGAUAUAUAAACCCCACCUCCCAAAAAAGGAUUCCCUCUGGCAGGAAUCAGCCAGGCCUUGAAGAUGCAAGGCUUUUCGAUGCUAAUCAAGGUGAUUAACUGAAACAUUCACACUUGCCUCCAACAGACAAAAGUUCUUUCUCCCACCUGGACCUUCCACAGAUAUAUAAACCUCCCUUGCCUAGUCAAAACC
rnacentral:lncRNA from 1 species